rnacentral:misc_RNA from 1 species
GAUGAAGAACGUAGCGAAAUGCGAUAAGUAAUGUGAAUUGCAGAAUUCAGUGAAUCAUCGAAUCUUUGAACGCACAUUGCGCCCGCCAGCAUUCUGGCGGGCAUGCCUGUUCGAGCGUCAUUUCAACCCCCGAGCCCCCCCGGGGGCCUCGGUGUUGGGGGACGGCACACCAGCCGCCCCCGAAAUGCAGUGGCGACCCCGCCGCAGCCUCCCCUGCGUAGUAGCACACACCUCGCACCGGAGCGCGGAGGCGGUCACGCCGUAAAACGCCCAACUUUCUUAGAGUUGACCUCGGAUCAGGUAGGAAUACCCGCUGAACUUAAGCAUAUCAAUAAGCGGAGGA